UACAGAGGUCUCAAGCGUUGUUCGGAUUCAUUGGGCGUAAAGGGUGCGUAGGCGGCGCGGUAAGUCGGGUGUGAAAUCUCGGAGCUUAACUCCGAAACUGCAUUCGAUACUGCCGUGCUUGAGGACUGGAGAGGAGACUGGAAUUUACGGUGUAGCGGUGAAAUGCGUAGAUAUCUGGAGGAAUACCGGUGGCGAAGGCGGCAUCCUGGACCGGCAUUGACGCUGAAAAGCGAAAGCUAGGGGAGCAAACGGG
rnacentral:rRNA from 1 species